rnacentral:rRNA from 1 species
GAUCCUGGCUCAGGAUGAACGCUGGCGGCGUGCUUAACACAUGCAAGUCGAACGAAGAUGCCGAAGUGCUUGCACUUUGGCAGACUGAGUGGCGGACGGGUGAGUAACGCGUGGGUAACCUGCCUUAUACAGGGGGAUAACAGUUGGAAACGACUGCUAAUACCGCAUAAGCGCACGGUAUCGCAUGAUACAGUGUGAAAAACUCCGGUGGUAUAAGAUGGACCCGCGUCUGAUUAGCUAGUUGGUGAGGUAACGGCCCACCAAGGCGACGAUCAGUAGCCGGCCUGAGAGGGUGAACGGCCACAUUGGGACUGAGACACGGCCCAAACUCCUACGGGAGGCAGCAGGUGGGGAAUAUUGCACAAUGGGGGAAACCCUGAUGCAGCGACGCCGCGUGAGUGAUGAAGUAUUUCGGUAUGUAAAACUCUAUCAGCAGGGAAGAUAAUGACGGUACCUGACUAAGAAGCACCGGCUAAAUACGUG